UUUUUAUUGGACGUUGACCGUCAUGUGUCAUAUUUUUAUUGGAUGAUAAUUUCGUGCACCUAAUUAAUUAAUGUAAACCUUUAAUAAAAAUACGAUAUAUGAUGUGAUAUAUGACAGUCAACAUCU
rfam:Glycine soja cultivar W05 scaffold708_42, whole genome shotgun sequence.